rnacentral:lncRNA from 1 species
CCUUAAAUAGCAUGGGUAGAUGUUCAAACAUGUUAGGACUCGCUGGCCCUAGGAAAGACCCGCAAGUAGAUACUUUCCACACCAGGAAAGUGACAAUGAAACACCAAACACCUUUUCUCCUCUAAUUACCAAGGAAAAUAUUUCUUUCCCAAUGGUGGAAGACAAUAAUGUUGGGAAUGAUGAAGUUUUCUGGAGUGUGAAGUGGAUAUGUCUUAUAAGUUUAAUCCACAGAUUCACCACUUCAUAAGUGGAUAAUCGAAUUGUGCCUCAGUUUCCUCAGACUUGGGGAUAUUAAGAGAACCCUCAGUCACCACAAGGUGGGUACCAGCAUAAGAAAAGAGUGUAGCAAAAGCCCAGGGGUGCAUGUUCUUAAAGUGCCUAGUGUGGGAUUAGAAUGACAAGUGGUAGAUGACCUACUUGUGCAGAAAUUUAGAGUUAUUUUGUGAUUUUCAAAUGAUCAUGGGUGCUUUCCAUAUGCUGUCCAGACUAGGGGUGCUGCAGCUAGAAAGGGAAGAAGGUUUCCAUAUUUCCUGAGAUUGGAGUCACAUCCUCUCACCAAUGCACUCACCUGCUGACUAACCAGUGUACUUCUGGGAAUUGCAAAUGCAUGAAAUGGCACCCAUUCUAGACUAGUCGCGGCAGUGUUGGUGAUGGCCACAGACCAGGAACGACCUUGACGUUUAUCCGUAGGGAACUGGGUCAUGAGCCAUGAUCCACAUCAUGGAUACUGUGCAGCUGUGGCAAUGAAUGAGGUAUCCUUCUGUCUGUGCACCGGGAAAGGUUUCCAAGAUACACUGCACAGUGAGAAAAACAAGAAGCAGAACAAUGCACGGUGUGCUACCUCUUGCAUUACAAAGGAGGAAAUGUAAAAUUAAUUUACAAAUGGCCAAUAAACACAUGAAAAGAUGCUCAACAUCACUAAUCAUUAGGAAAAUAAAAAUCACAACUACAGUGGGAUACCACCUUACAUCCUUUACGAUGGUUGUUCCCAAUAAAAAAAAAAAAAGGAAAACAGAAAAGAAAAGUGUUGGCGAGGAGGAAUUGGAAUGCUUGUGUAGUGUUUGUGGGUUUGUAAUAUGGCACAACAACUGUGGUCAUUUCUCAAAAAAUUAAUCAUAGACUUACCACAAGAUGCAGCAAUUCGGCUUCUGGUGUAUUCCAAAAAGAACGGAAAGCAGGGGCCCCAGCAGAUAUUUGCAUGUCUUUGUUCAUAGCAGCAUUAUUCACAAUAGCUAAAAGUUGGAAACAAGCCCAGUGUCCAUCCAUCCAUGAAUGAAUAAACAAAAAGUGGUCUAUGCGUACAAACAAAUGGGAUUCAGCUGUAACAAGAAGGGUGAUUCUGAUGUGUGCUUCAACAUGAUUAAGCCUUGAGUUCUUUCUGCUAAGUGAAAUAAUCAGACUCAAAAAGACAACUACUACAUGAUUCCACUUAACAGAGGCUUUCACAAGCUCCAAAAGAUUCACCGUGCAGAACUGGACGUUCUAGAGAAAGACCACGCCUCCUCCUGCAGGAGGCCAGAGGAACUUGUCUGGCAAUUAUGAGAGUGGAUGGAGGAACUGCCUAUCCCUGUCCCAUGGUCUUGUCCACAGGUCCUGUGAGAUUCACGCUCAAAGAGGUUCUGUUCUGAUGUGUUUCCAGGAUUUGUUUCAAGAUUUGGAGCUCCUUUUAGCAGUUAUUGUAGUGCUGGCUUGGUAGUGGCAAAUUCUCUGAGCAUUUGUUUGUCUGAAAAAGACUGUUAUCUUUCCUUUAUUUAUGAACUUUAGUUUUGCUGGAUACAAAAUUCUUGGCUGAUAAUUUUUUUUUUCUUUUUCUGAGAUGGAGUCUUUCCCUGUUGCCCAGGCUGGAGUGCAGUGGUGUGAUCUCGGCUCACUGCAACCUCCGCCUCCUGGAUUCACGCCAUUCUCCUGCCUCAGCCUCCUGAGUAGCUGGGAUUACAGGCGCCUGCCACCAGG